rnacentral:rRNA from 1 species
CCGAUGGCGAAGGCAGAUCUCUGGGCCGUAACUGACGCUGAGGAGCGAAAGCAUGGGGAGCGAACAGGAUUAGAUACCCUGGUAGUCCAUGCCGUAAACGUUGGGAACUAGAUGUGGGGACCAUUCCACGGUCUCCGUGUCGCAGCUAACGCAUUAAGUUCCCCGCCUGGGGAGUACGGCCGCAAGGCUAAAACUCAAAGGAAUUGACGGGGGCCCGCACAAGCGGCGGAGCAUGCGGAUUAAUUCGAUGCAACGCGAAGAACCUUACCAAGGCUUGACAUAUACCGGAAACAUGCAGAGAUGUGUGCCCCGCAAGGUCGGUAUACAGGUGGUGCAUGGUUGUCGUCAGCUCGUGUCGUGAGAUGUUGGGUUAAGUCCCGCAACGAGCGCAACCCUCGUUCUAUGUUGCCAGCACGUAAUGGUGGGAACUCAUAGGAGACUGCCGGGGUCAACUCGGAGGAAGGUGGGGAUGACGUCAAAUCAUCAUGCCCCUUAUGUCUUGGGCUUCACGCAUGCUACAAUGGCCGGUACAAAGGGCUGCGAUACCGUAAGGUGGAGCGAAUCCCAAAAAGCCGGUCUCAGUUCGGAUUGAGGUCUGCAACUCGACCUCAUGAAGUCGGAGUCGCUAGUAAUCGCAGAUCAGCAACGCUGCGGUGAAUACGUUCCCGGGCCUUGUACACACCGCCCGUCAAGUCAUGAAAGUCGGUAACACCCGAAGCCAGUGGCCUAACC